AAUGGGUCAGCGACUUAUAUUCUGUAGCAAGGUUAACCGAAUAGGGGAGCCGGAGGGAAACCGAGUCUUAACCGGGCGUUAAGUUGCAGGGUAUAGACCCGAAACCCGGUGAUCUAGCCAUGGGCAGGUUGAAGGUUGGGUAACACUAACUGGAGGACCGAACCGACUAAUGUUGAAAAAUUAGCGGAUGACCUGUGGCUGGGGGUGAAAGGCCAAUCAAACCGGGAGAUAGCUGGUUCUCCCCGAAAGCUAUUUAGGUAGCGCCUCGUGAACUCAUCUCCGGGGGUAGAGCACUGUUUCGGCUAGGGGGCCAUCCCGGCUUACCAACCCGAUGCAAACUGCGAAUACCGGAGAAUGUUAUCACGGGAGACACACGGCGGGUGCUAACGUCCGUCGUGAAGAGGGAAACAACCCAGACCGCCAGCUAAGGUCCCAAAGUCAUGGUUAAGUGGGAAACGAUGUGGGAAGGCCCAGACAGCCAGGAUGUUGGCUUAGAAGCAGCCAUCAUUUAAAGAAAGCGUAAUAGCUCACUGGUCGAGUCGGCCUGCGCGGAAGAUGUAACGGGGCUAAACCAUGCACCGAAGCUGCGGCAGCGACACUCAGGUGUUGUUGGGUAGGGGAGCGUUCUGUAAGCCUGCGAAGGUGGCCUGUGAGGGUUGCUGGAGGUAUCAGAAGUGCGAAUGCUGACAUAAGUAACGAUAAAGCGGGUGAAAAGCCCGCUCGCCGGAAGACCAAGGGUUCCUGUCCAACGUUAAUCGGGGCAGGGUGAGUCGACCCCUAAGGCGAGGCCGAAAGGCGUAGUCGAUGGGAAACGGGUUAAUAUUCCCGUACUUGGUGUUACUGCGAAGGGGGGACGGAGAAGGCUAUGUUGGCCGGGCGACGGUUGUCCCGGUUUAAGCGUGUAGGUGUGUGUUCCAGGUAAAUCCGGUUCACUUUAACACUGAGGCGUGAUGACGAGGCACUACGGUGCUGAAGCAACAAAUGCCCUGCUUCCAGGAAAAGCCUCUAAGCAUCAGGUAACAUCAAAUCGUACCCCAAACCGACACAGGUGGUCAGGUAGAGAAUACCAAGGCGCUUGAGAGAACUCGGGUGAAGGAACUAGGCAAAAUGGUGCCGUAACUUCGGGAGAAGGCACGCUGACACGUAGGUGAAGUGAUUUACUCAUGGAGCUGAAGUCAGUCGAAGAUACCAGCUGGCUGCAACUGUUUAUUAAAAACACAGCACUGUGCAAACACGAAAGUGGACGUAUACGGUGUGACGCCUGCCCGGUGCCGGAAGGUUAAUUGAUGGGGUCAGCGCAAGCGAAGCUCCUGAUCGAAGCCCCGGUAAACGGCGGCCGUAACUAUAACGGUCCUAAGGUAGCGAAAUUCCUUGUCGGGUAAGUUCCGACCUGCACGAAUGGCGUAAUGAUGGCCAGGCUGUCUCCACCCGAGACUCAGUGAAAUUGAACUCGCUGUGAAGAUGCAGUGUACCCGCGGCAAGACGGAAAGACCCCGUGAACCUUUACUAUAGCUUGACACUGAACAUUGAGCCUUGAUGUGUAGGAUAGGUGGGAGGCUUUGAAGUGUGGACGCCAGUCUGCAUGGAGCCGGCCUUGAAAUACCACCCUUUAAUGUUUGAUGUUCUAACGUGGACCCGUGAUCCGGGUUGCGGACAGUGUCUGGUGGGUAGUUUGACUGGGGCGGUCUCCUCCUAAAGAGUAACGGAGGAGCACGAAGGUUGGCUAAUCCUGGUCGGACAUCAGGAGGUUAGUGCAAUGGCAUAAGCCAGCUUGACUGCGAGCGUGACGGCGCGAGCAGGUGCGAAAGCAGGUCAUAGUGAUCCGGUGGUUCUGAAUGGAAGGGCCAUCGCUCAACGGAUAAAAGGUACUCCGGGGAUAACAGGCUGAUACCGCCCAAGAGUUCAUAUCGACGGCGGUGUUUGGCACCUCGAUGUCGGCUCAUCACAUCCUGGGGCUGAAGUAGGUCCCAAGGGUAUGGCUGUUCGCCAUUUAAAGUGGUACGCGAGCUGGGUUUAGAACGUCGUGAGACAGUUCGGUCCCUAUCUGCCGUGGGCGCUGGAGAACUGAGGGGGGCUGCUCCUAGUACGAGAGGACCGGAGUGGACGCAUCACUGGUGUUCGGGUUGUCAUGCCAAUGGCACUGCCCGGUAGCUAAAUGCGGAAGAGAUAAGUGCUGAAAGCAUCUAAGCACGAAACUUGCCCCGAGAUGAGUUCUCCCUGAGACUUUAGGUCUCCUGAAGGAACGUUGAAGACGACGACGUUGAUAGGCCGGGUGUGUAAGCGCAGCGAUGCGUUGAGCUAACCGGUACUAAUGAACCGUGAGGCUUAACCUU
rnacentral:rRNA from 1 species